UGACGGGCCACAGUGGGCGUAAUUCUCCCGUCACUCUCGUAAACAGGUAAAUAUGUUUAGGUAUAGUUAGGUUGUUAAGAGUUUAGAGAUUACGUUUUUAUUCCCACCAUGUUUGAGACACAAGAGGCAUCAGCAGAGGAUGAAGACUUCUAUCAAUCAAAACUAUGUAAGUAAAGUGUCUCGUUUACACAGAAAGACACUCAACACUUUUUUUUAUUGUAAAAAUACUGCCAUUGGUAGAAAAAAAAUAAAUAGAUGUUUGUUUACACUAAAACCUAUAAAUUGUCCACCACAGUGUCCCACAAUCAGCCCCAGGAGGAGACGCCAGCAGAGGAAAGAAACAAUAUUAACCAAAACAAUGUAAGUAAAACUUCUCAUUUACACAGAAAGACACUCACAUGUUUAAUGUAUAAAUAGAAGUCACGUUUUACUAACUCCUGUAAAAUGUCGGAGAGGAACGCCAACAUCCACUGAUGGAGGAGAAGAAAGAUGGAGGACGGGAGUGCCAGCAUCUACCAAUGGAGGAGAAGAAAUACUUUUAUUAACCAAAACAAUAAUCCACUGAUGGAGAACAAGGAAGAUAGAAGAGUACCAUCAUCUACCAAUGGAGGAGGAGGAGGAGAAAAAUGGGGGAGCACCAGCAUCCAAAAGUGUCCCAUAAUCAGCCCCAGGAGGAGAUAUCAGCAGAGGAAAGAAAGACUAUUAACCAAAACAAUUGUCCCACAAUCAGCCCCAGGAGGAGACGCCAGCAGAGGAAAGAAACAAUAUUAA
rnacentral:lncRNA from 1 species